rnacentral:lncRNA from 1 species
AUUCAGACUAGCCACAAGUAACUACCAUGUUUGAAAGCAUAGUUCUAGAAUCUUCUCUGCCAGGUGAACCCUAUUAUGAGUAGGCACAUUCCUUAAAUCCCUAGAGUCCAGCUAGUCUGACUGCAAUGGCUAACAAAAUUUUAUUGUUGUAAUACUGAAAAGAGAAGCUUAAAAUAGACAUCUGCCCUCCCUUGCCUUGGUGUACAGAGCCUUGCCCCUCCAGAAGGUCCUCUAGCCUGAAGUGUGGCUGUUGCGACGUUAUCAGAACUGGCCUCUCCCUCAGGAAGGAGAGUACCUUUGGCCAGGCCACNCUUAAAUCCCUAGAGUCCAGCUAGUCUGACUGCAAUGGCUAACAAAAUUUUAUUAUUGUAAUACUGAAAAGAGAAGCUUAAAAUAGACAUCUGCCCUCCCUGGCCUUGGUGUACAGAGCCUUGCCCCUCCAGAAGGUCCUCUAGCCUGAAGUGUGGCUGCUGCCAUGUUAUCAGAACUGGCCUCUCCCUCAGGAAGGAGAGUACCUUUGGCCAGGCCAACUCUGCCCACUGUCAGUACGAGAACCCCCACCAGCCCCAUGGAAAACAGAACUCUCACUUCUUGCCUCCUCCCCUCCUGUUGCCUGGGAUACAACCUGAUUCUGCACGUCACUGCGGGAUAUUGUCUGCAGGUCCCGGCUAACAGAAAAAUAAUUUUUAAGAAACUACGCAAAGGAUGAUCAAACCAUGGUACCUGCCUACAUUUGACAGCACGUCGAUGAAAUAGAUCUCUGAGCGCUGACAUGCAAAGAGCUCCAAGACCCAGCACUUGAUGUUGUUUUUUUAAAAAGGAAAAAAAAAAAAAGGAACAUCAAGCAAAGCCAUGGAUUUCUAUAGAAACAUAUAUAUGUGGGGAUCCAUGGGUGGCGCAGCGGUUUGGCGCCUGCCUUUGGUCCAGGGCGCGAUCCUGGAGACCCAGGAUCGAAUCCCACAUCGGGCUCCCGGUGCAUGGAGCCUGCUUCUCCCUCUGCCUAUG